UUGAAUAUAAAGACGAAGUGUUUUUUGUUUAUGCACACAGAUCUGUAUUUACGCAAUUGAAUAUACCUAGAAAGACCAAUGUAAACAUCAUUUCAUCAUAAACUGCUGUUGAGUCCUCCGCAAACAGCGUGAUGUUACAUACGACAUGGCCCCACCCAGCUGUGCACGCAUUUGUUUAUGUCCACAAGCCAGAACCCCCAGUAAAGCCACCCGAAGUGUGGACUUCUUCAGGAGAAGCUUAGAUCAGUGAAUCCAUGCACAGUGAAACAGCCAAACAGCAAAAGAGAGGACUUCACCUCCCUGUGUGCUGUGAGGGCGAGUCGCUGAAUAUGUCUCGGGCUGUGGCUGCCUUCCUACAGGUCUCUUCAUGACCUUGACCAGAAAAAGCAAUUGGAAAAUGGAUGGAUGGAGAAAUAGCGCCCCCUGCUGGUUGCUCUAUUUUGACCAGUCCAGGCUUGGAGUUGGUAUAUGCUCAACAGAUGUAGAUCUUGGUCGGUGCAGCUGGGUUCCUGGAGCCAAGGGUGCGGAGCAUGAGACUGAAUGGAUUCCAGGAUAUUCAGUUCAAUUCUAUUUACUUUUGCUGCCCUUUUCAAAGACACAGCAGUGGCACUUAGCUGGUGAACUUUCCAGGAAUGCUAACCAAGAAGCAUACCAAUGUGCAAUAGGGUAUUUUAUAUCAAUAGACUGAAGACUAAUCAAUUACAAUUUAGGAAUUUACUUUGUGCCUAAACAUUGUUCAUUAUAAUUAGGCCAAAGGUCAGGGAAUGUUACCUGUGCUCAGAUCACAGACGUGUGGCUUUAUCGUUCAUGGCGCUACAUUCUUGUGUCUGGAAUAGAUUUGGACAAAGUGUCUCUGUCUGAUGAAGAGGCCCGAUAAUCUUUGUAUCAGUCAACAAGGUCACAUACAUCUAUAUAUGCAUGUUUCAAGCCAAGCUAACACCUUUUCUGAGUAAUUAAAGUAGCGUAAUGUUACGGUAAGUGCUUGAGAGUUGAAUAUCACAAA